rnacentral:rRNA from 1 species
AUACCAUCUGGGGGAUGACUUGGCUUGAGUCGCCGAAGAGGGUCGCGGCAAGCAGCGAUAUGCCUGGGCGAGGAGCAUGCAUCCUUAGAACCCAGGAUUACCUAAUGGGACUUCCUAUCUUCGGAUGCUCCGUGAGGAGCGGGAACCCGCCGAACUGAAACAUCUUAGUAGGCGGAGGAAAAGAAAGCAAUUAUGCGAUACCGUUAGUAAAGUCGAUCGAACACGGUGUAGAACAAACUGAAUCCCACUUAGUGAUUUGU